AGUCGGUGGCGAAGACUGGGCGGUUGCUGAUCAGCCAUGAAGCUCCCUUGACAGGAGGAUUUGCCUCUGAAAUCAGUUCUACAGUUCAGGAGGAAUGCUUUUUGAAUUUAGAAGCUCCGAUUUCAAGAGUAUGUGGCUAUGACACUCCUUUCCCUCACAUCUUUGAGCCUUUCUACAUCCCAGACAAAUGGAAAUGCUAUGAUGCACUUCGAAAGAUGAUUAACUACUGAGAAGUAGUACAGAGAUGAGAAUAACAACGGGGAAGUACAGAAGCUGCCUUCAAAACUCUUGACACUUUACUCAGAUCUUUUUGGUUUGGAGUUCACAUAACAGACUGUUUUCUCUGAACUCAACUAUUCUUAUUAUUCAUCUUGGCUAUUCUUCAGAAAGUUCAAAUCUUCGUUAAUUAUGAAAUCAGUGAUGGGCAGUUGAUUGCUAAAAUAAGUAGUUUCAGAUGUAUUUAAAGAUAUUCCAGAUGCUGUAUGAAUGUUACACAUUGCCAUGCUUCACUAGGUUACAUCUCUAAACCUCACUGUGUAAAUAUUAGAAGCAGGAUUUUAUUCAAUAAAACAUAUUAU